rnacentral:rRNA from 1 species
UACGUAGGGCGCAAGCGUUAUCCGGAAUUAUUGGGCGUAAAGAGCUCGUAGGCGGUUUGUCGCGUCUGCCGUGAAAGUCCGGGGCUCAACUCCGGAUCUGCGGUGGGUACGGGCAGACUAGAGUGAUGUAGGGGAGACUGGAAUUCCUGGUGUAGCGGUGAAAUGCGCAGAUAUCAGGAGGAACACCGGUGGCGAAGGCGGGUCGCUGGGCCGAUACUGACGCUGAGGAGCGAAAGCGUGGGGAGCAAACAGG